rnacentral:rRNA from 1 species
UUUUUNNCCUGGCUCAGGAUGAACGCUGGCGGCGUGCCUAAUACAUGCAAGUCGAACGAACUUCCGUUAAUUGAUUAUGASGUGCUUGCACUGAAUGAGAUUUUAACACGAAGUGAGUGGCGGACGGGUGAGUAACACGUGGGUAACCUGCCCAGAAGCAGGGGAUAACACCUGGAAACAGAUGCUAAUACCGUAUAACAGAGAAAACCGCCUGGUUUUCUUUUAAAAGAUGGCUCUGCUAUCACUUCUGGAUGGACCCGCGGCGCAUUAGCUAGUUGGUGAGGUAACGGCUCACCAAGGCGAUGAUGCGUAGCCGACCUGAGAGGGUAAUCGGCCACAUUGGGACUGAGACACGGCCCAGACUCCUACGGGAGGCAGCAGUAGGGAAUCUUCCACAAUGGACGCAAGUCUGAUGGAGCAACGCCGCGUGAGUGAAGAAGGGUUUCGGCUCGUAAAGCUCUGUUGUUAAAGAAGAACGUGGGUGAGAGUAACUGUUCACCCAGUGACGGUAUUUAACCAGAAAGCCACGGCUAACUACGUGCCAGCAGCCGGGGGAAAUA